GUUCUCCUGGGAUGUCCGACAACUCCUGUGUAAUUUGAACCUACAUUACUUUAAACGGGACUCCUACAUCGCUGUUAUAAAUGUCACGCCUUCGGCCCUGCGCAUGCGCAGACCAGCUACGGGAGAGGAAGACAGGCAUAGCAGUUGCGGUAACCCACCUGGCGUCAGCUAGGAGUCAAAUAACAGGAACCGGCAUUUUGGGAUAAAA
rnacentral:other from 1 species